GGCCCGGUAGUUCAGUAGGUUAGAAUGUCGGCUUGUCAGGCCGAAGGUCGCGGGUUCGAGUCCCGUCCGGGCCG
rnacentral:tRNA from 1 species